GACGAACGCUGGCGGCGUGCUUAACACAUGCCAGUCGAACGGAAAGGCCCUGCUUUUGUGGGGUGCUCGAGUGGCGAACGGGUGAGUAACACGUGAGUAACCUGCCCUUGACUUUGGGAUAACUUCAGGAAACUGGGGCUAAUACCGGAUAGGAGCUCCUGCUGCAUGGUGGGGGUUGGAAAGUUUCGGCGGUUGGGGAUGGACUCGCGGCUUAUCAGCUUGUUGGUGGGGUAGUGGCUUACCAAGGCUUUGACGGGUAGCCGGCCUGAGAGGGUGACCGGCCACAAUGGGACUGAGAGACGGCCCAGAAGCCUACGGGAGGCAGCAGUGGGGAAUAUUGCAGAAUGGGCGGAAGCCAGAUGCAGCAACGCCGCGUGCGGGAUGACGGCCUUCGGGUUGUAAACCGCUGUCGACUGUGACGAAGCGUGAGUGACGGUAAUGGGUAAAGAAGCACCGGCUAACUACGUG
rnacentral:rRNA from 1 species